AACGCAUAUUGCGCUCUCUGGUAUUCCGGAGAGCAUGCUUGUUUGAGUAUCAGUAAACACCUCAACUUCCAUAUCUUUUUUGAAAUGGGAGCUGGACUUGAGUGAUCCCAACGCUUUUCCUCACCGAAAAGUGGCGGGUUACUUGAAAUGCAGGUGCAGCUGGACUUUUCUCUGAGCUAUAAGCAUAUCUAUUUAGUCUGCCUAAAAAACAGAUUAUUACCUUUGCUGCAGCUAACAUAAAGGAGAUUAGUUCUUGUGCUGACUGAUGCAGGAUUCACAAAGAGAGCUUCGGCCGACUUUGUAAACUCGAUCUCAAAUCAAGUAAGACUACCCGCUGAACUUAA
rnacentral:misc_RNA from 1 species